ACUAAAUAGAUACCCAGGUAGUCCACGCCCUAAACGAUGUCUACUAGUUGUUGGUGGAGUAAAAUCCAUGAGUAAACGCAGCUAAACGCGUGAAGUAGACCGCCUGGGGAGUACGGUCGCAAGAUUAAAAACUCAAAGGAAUUGACGGGGGCCCGCACAAGCGGUGGAUUAUGUGGAUUAAAUUCGCUGCGACGCGAAAAACCUUACCUGGCCUUGACAUGCCACUAACGAAGCAGAGAUGCAUUAGGUGCCCGUAAGGGAAAGUGGACACAGGUGCUGCAUGGCUGUCGUCAGCUCGUGUCGUGAGAUGUUGGGUUAAGUCCCGCAACGAGCGCAACCCUCGCCAUUAAUUGCCAUCAUUUAGUUGGGCACUUUAAUGGGACUGCCGGUGACAAACCGGAGGAAGGUGGGGAUGACGUCAAGUCCUCAUGGCCCUUAUGGCCAGGGCUUCACACGUAAUACAAUGGUCGGUACAGAGAGUUGCCAACCCGCGAGGGGAGCUAAUCUCAGAAAGCCGAUCGUAGUCCGGAUUGUUCUCUGC
rnacentral:rRNA from 1 species